rnacentral:tRNA from 2 species
GGAGAGUCGUCGUUUCCGGUGAGGCGGCAGGACUUCAAAUCCUGUUAAGGCUGCCAGCAGUCUUGGGUAGGUUCAACUCCUAUGGCUCUCCGCCA